CUCACUUCCGAUUGUUGGAAGUCACUUUACCUUUUUGUCUAUAAACUUGCUCUGCUAGGGAGGCACACCUGGAGCCUCUGUGAAUCUGCUCUGAUUCUGGGGGCUGCCCGAUUUGUGAAUCGUUCAUUGCUCAAUUAAACUCCUUUAAAUUUAAUUUGGCUGACGUUUUUCUUUUAUCAGAUGGUGUCAGAAGCGGAAUCCGAAGUGGAGCUUCUAGAGAUACCCAGGAGCGCUGAGUGAACAUUCAAGGGAUAUCUCCACUUCAACAGUGAUGUGAGAACUUUCCACAAAAAGGUCUAAGAGGGAAGUAAAGAUACAGUUUGACAAGCCUCUCUGGGAAGCUUCAGUCUUUCUUGUAAUAUUGGAUAAUUGUGCAGUUUGAAAGUCAUAACACAUUGUUUUCCAAGAAGCUAUAUUUGAGAUUGUUGCCAGUCUGGGUUUUCUUUAAUAACAUCGUGGAUUACUAGACUCAAGAAACAGAAAUGCACAAGCCCUAGAAGUGUGCUUGAGUUUCAGGUACUGAGAAGAGGGGCAGAGCAUGCUGCCCAAUUCCUGGGGUCUUAUGGC
rnacentral:lncRNA from 1 species